rnacentral:tRNA from 1 species
GCCCACAUAGCUCAGCAGGUAGAGCACGUUCUUGGUAAGAACGAGGUCAUCGGUUCAAGUCCGAUUGUGGGCUCCA